UCCUUUUAUUGCUGCAUUUCUAUACAAGAAACAUGCCUUGUGUGACUGCUGGAUGUCAGAACCCAUGGUUAUGAAGAUAAGUAGUGCACUGCUGAGCUGGAGGGACUCCCAGUACUGUACGGCAAGGCCAUAAUGGAGAUUUCUCAAGCACGUACCCUGUGACUGUCACUUCACUAAAAAUCAGAAACUCAAACAUGGAACUGGAUGCUGGUUCUGUCCUCAAGAAGCUCAGAGUCUUUCAGAAAAAGGGGAGCUGUGAGACAAAUUACCAAGUGCAAGUUCAGAAGCCUUGCGUUUGUGGCAGCGGCUGUAAAGGUCUUUGUUGCUGUUGCUGCCAUGUUAAUGACCCAGCUUGGGGCGCUGCCGCCGCCGCCGGCCGCUUCUUCCAAAGAAAACAAAUCAAAUCUGCCCACACUGAUAAAACUCCAUGAGUCAUUGACCCUCAACAAGCGGAGACAUUCAUCUUCAGCUACAAGUGUGUUUAUAGAGUGGGGGUAAUAUUGUGAGGAAGCUUUUAUAGCACCUGGACAGCAGUCUGCAAUGGCCGUGUCCCUCAGACCUUUCUACAGAAGACCUCCUACAUCUGGACAUGACUCUGUUCUCUCCCAGUCCUUAGUAAGGAUCACCCCUGAGAUAGCAUGAGACAGAUGCCCCAGCCUCCUGCUGUCAUGAAAAACUCCCACCUGAAUGCCAGCAAAGCAGAGUCCUGAGGAGAGAUGAUCCACAUUGGGCCCAAAAGAAGAUUUAUUGAAAUGAUUGAUGUUUCUGUUCUUUUUCUGUUUCUCUUUGUAAGAAUCUCAUAGUCAGGACCUAAAAUGGUGACAAAUAUGCACAUU